GGCGUAAAGAGCUUGUAGGCGGCUUGUCGCGUCUGCUGUGAAAGCCCGGGGCUUAACCCCGGGUCUGCAGUGGGUACGGGCAGGCUAGAGUGUGGUAGGGGAGACUGGAAUUCCUGGUGUAGCGGUGGAAUGCGCAGAUAUCAGGAGGAACACCGAUGGCGAAGGCAGGUCUCUGGGCCAUUACUGACGCUGAGAAGCGAAAGCGUGGGGAGCGAACAGGAUUAGAUACCCUGGUAGUCCACGCCGUAAACGUUGGGCGCUAGGUGUGGGUCCCAUUCCACGGGGUCCGUGCCGCAGCUAACGCAUUAAGCGCCCCGCCUGGGGAGUACGGCCGCAAGGCUAAAACUCAGAGGAAUUGACGGGGGCCCGCACAAGCGGCGGAGCAUGCGGAUUAAUUCGAUGCAACGCGAAGAACCUUACCAAGGCUUGACAUGUACCGGAAACCCUCGGAGACGGGGGCCCCGCAAGGCCGGUACACAGGUGGUGCAUGGUUGUCGUCAGCUCGUGUCGUGAGAUGUUGGGUUAAGUCCCGCAACGAGCGCAACCCUCGUUCUAUGUUGCCAGCGGUUCGGCCGGGGACUCAUAGGAGACUGCCGGGGUCAACUCGGAGGAAGGU
rnacentral:rRNA from 1 species